GAACACUAAGCAUUAAGGAUUAAACCAAAUUCUAGCUUAAAUUAUGAGAUCUCACCUUAGACCACCAUUCACAUCAAGCUAAAUCCACUAUUGGAAAGCUUGCUUCCACCAUUAGAGAGAGCUUCAACUUCAAGCUACUCUAAUCUUCUCCAAGCUUGCUUCAACUUUUCUUUCUUUUCUUCUCCAAUCAUCUCUUUGGUGUACAGAGAGAGAUUUCUCUCUUUGCUUGUGAGUGUAAAUAAUGAGAGGAAAGAAAGCCCAAGUCCUAUAUAUACAUAGAGAGAAAACUUGCUCUCCAAGUUUUCUAUGAAGCUUCCAAAAACACUAUUCACUCCAGGCAACUUAAAAUCUGAUAUCUUUCGCCGGAGCUCUCAGAGUAUCCGUUUGAGCUCAAAUUUGACAGUCAUAUUCGGUUUAACGUACCGAACAAGAAUAUACUUUAAGUUUUCAGUUUCGACCCCGUUUGGUCACCGAAAACUGUACCGAACUUAAUCUUUAUCAGAUAGAUUUCGGAUUUUACUUCUCAACUUUCGGGUGUCAGAAAAAUAUGAAACUUUAAAUCUAGCCUCAUAAAAAUAUUUCUGACUUAUCCUCAAAUUUUCAUAAUUUUCUGAGACUCUGUAUUUUUUGCUAAUUUAUCUGUCUCGUUUUCAACAGAAAAUUAUAAAUCUUCUGUUUUCAUUCCGAUUUCAGCACAAGUCAUUAUAGACUUAUACAUUGCUUCUCAAAAGCCAAAUAAAAAUAGUAUCUCACACUAUUUUU
rnacentral:lncRNA from 1 species